UCUUUUCCUUUUGUGCCCGCCGCCGCGGUAAUACGUAGGGAGCAAGCGUUGUCCGGAUUUACUGGGUGUAAAGGGUGCGUAGGCGGCUUUGCAAGUCAGAUGUGAAAUCUAUGGGCUCAACCCAUAAACUGCAUUUGAAACUGUAGAGCUUGAGUGAAGUAGAGGCAGGCGGAAUUCCCCGUGUAGCGGUGAAAUGCGUAGAGAUGGGGAGGAACACCAGUGGCGAAGGCGGCCUGCUGGGCUUUAACUGACGCUGAGGCACGAAAGCGUGGGUAGCAAACAGG
rnacentral:rRNA from 1 species